rnacentral:lncRNA from 1 species
CUUUUUCUUAAAUUACUGGUGAAUUCCAGAGUAAAAAUGCUAUCGUUAUUAAUAGCCUUUUGAGACUGGAAAGCCUGAGCUACCAUAUCUUGAGUAUGUUGUAAGAAGUGAAGCAAGAAAGAAAUUUGAUAUUCCAAUGCUUGCUCAGAGAGAAAGCUCUGAAAGGAGAUCUGAAAAAGCAAAAUGAAGUGGAGGGAAAAUGCACAAUUUAUUCCUGCACCAUUUAUCUUCCCUGCACUUGAUACAUUAAUCAUCCUAAGCCCUCUGUAGAAAUAAUAUAGGAUAAGAGGAAUACCUGGGGCUCCUUCAUCUGAAAUGCAGGAGACUAGAACUCUGUUUUUUUAUGAACGAUUGCUAAACAUUUGUGAAUAUACACAUACUGAAAAGAGAGGAACUGAAAAACAUAUUGCUAAAGUUAGUAUGUUUCAUUUACCUGUAAGGGAAGUCUCUAGGGAGAUUAACAAUUGUUUCUUCCAUCACAGUGUAUGGACGACUGUGAUGUUGUUUCAUCCAAGGCUUCAUCAAAGUGAACAAAGUUUCAGAAAGGUUUUCAGAAGAUUGCAGAUUUUGAUCUAUGUGAUCAGAAAUGGGGAGAAGGCAUUGUUAAGAUGACAGUAUGCAGGAUUUAGAGGAAGGGAGACCUGAAGCAUCCCAAGAGAUGGAUUUUAACAUCCUUUAGGCCAGAGGUAAUCCUUUGCUGAAGAUGAACAGUCAAAAUGCAGCAAGGAACUGAGACAUAAACCUUGCUUGUCCUCACAGAAAAAGGUAGGGAACUGUCACUUGUUCACUUCAAUCUGUGAGUGGAGAAGAUGUUUUUUCUGGCAAUAUUCACUCAACAUCUAAUGCAACGUGCAUAAUUUGCACAAAUUUCGCAGAAAUACAUCUUAAUUGCUUCUUUUAAUCAUCAAAUGGGAGACUUGAAAGUUUUUUUAACAAUCAGCUAGUUCUCUCUCUCUCUCUCUCUUGCUUCUUCAAGGGAAAAGAUACUAAUUUUGUGCAGAGUGAUGCAAAGACAUUUUGCAGUACAUUUCUGGAACUUGCACAGGAAAAAAACAGUUUUGUCUCUCUCAUAUUGCAGCCAAGGAGGCUUGCAGACCAUGAAAACACCUCACUUUUUCUUGUUACAACAUAUAUACUACACCAUAGUGCUAACACACUCUCUGGGUGAUUUACAAUAUAAUUAUGCAAGUGACACUUUUUCCUCCAUGGAGACGAGUGCUCAUUUUACCAGCCUCAGAAGGAUGGAAGUCUGAGUCAGUUAUGAGCUAGCUAUCUGAGCCCAUCAAGAGCAAACUUAGGUUGUGAUGACAGGCUUGACAACAGUACUUUAACCACUUUUUAUCAUUUAUCUCAUUUAACUCAUUUAAAUGUCUUUAUUGUGUCAAGACAGCCUAAAUGAUUAAGAGUGACAAAUGAAGGCCAACCCACAUUUGAUAUUCAAGUGUUUCUGCAUAAAUAGAUAGAUAGAUAGAUAGAUAGAUAGAUAGAUAGAUAGAUAGAUAGAUAGAUAGAUAGAUAGAUGGAUAGAUAGAUAGAUAAAAAUAGGUUGCAGUCCUCCACCUGGAUUUACUUCAAGCAAAUAGGGAGUUAUAUGUACAUUUACACUCUUGUUUCAGAACAUCUGAUAGCCAUCAAAAUAAGAGUAAUUCAGAAUUUUUCCUGCAGUAAGUUUAUGUCCUAGCUCCUCCAGUUUAUACAUUCAUUGAACUACAUUGAAUUAUUAUCAACAAGGAUCUUACCACUAUUAUUCAACUUUUUUUCAGAAAACGCUGCUUCUUCAUCUGCAUUUAGAAUGUUUAAAAUAUCCACAGUUCCAGAUGCCAGGCCAACAAAUAGUGAUCUGUUCUGAAAUAGGCAUAACAUUUUAGCUUGAUAUAAACAAGUGCUCUGUCUUUUGUGCUGAUUGCUUUUGUUUAUAACAGAGUUGCAGAAUGAGUCUGCGGGACUGGACCAGAUCAUCACACCUCCAAACCCAUGUGUCUCCACCUCCUCAGGUGGCAUGCUCAUUCCCUGAUGUUACAACCAUAGUUCUGGCCCCAAUAUCAGAUUAUGGACUGUCUACAGCUAGUACUGCAGCCAAAAAGGUGACUGUGUUGCUCAGUGCUUCUGUGUCUGCUAGAGACUUCACAAAGGAAGUGAAGCUACUGAGAUCCCAGGACUGGAAAAAAUAGACUUCCAGCAGUUGGUGCUGGGAUUGGCUUCACCUGCCCUGUGCUUCACCAAAGAGGGUGAAGCCAACCCCAGCAUAUGCUGAGGAAGUCUGUUCUUGCCAGUCCUAGGAUCUCAGUAGCUUCACUUCCUUUGUGAUUUUCCCAGUGGGGGGAGAAUGGGGCAGGCAAAGCUCCUCAUUGUUAUCACUGUCAUCUUGCUACUGCAGAUGACAACAGAGACUCUCCCAUACAUCACUGGCCUUUCCAAUGGGGAGGGUGCAUGGGAAAUUCCUGCCAUUAUCUCUGAUCCCUGAUUAAAAAUGCCUGGGAAUCCCCAUCCCACUCUAUUUCACUUGGACAGUGAACAGAUGGGUGGGGGAAUCUUCAAAGAUCAGAUAUCCCCUCCACUCUUUAUGGGCCACAGGCUUCCAGCUUUUGUUCCAGAAUUUUAGAAUUAAUUACAUGUUCUUAACUUAGGGCAGUGGGUAUUACAAGCUGUUAAUUCAAACUCAUGAUAACGCUUUUGGAAGUCACUUCCAUGUCCCAAAUUAUAACUUGGGAAGUAUUUACUGAAGUGGCUACUUCCUCAGAAGUCCUCAAACAUUCUGAGAUACAGAAGAGAACAGGUAAGCUCCACAGCAGCUCUUUUAGAAGCAACUGGCUUUCAAUCUUCCCUACACUUCUGCUUGUGAUAGCAAAACUGCUUACCAGGAUUUCUUUGAUGUCAAAAGAACUGUGAAUGAUAAUAUCAGUGCAUUGAUUAUAAAAUCUCCAUAUUUAGUUUUAUAUACUUUUAAUGAUCUGGCCUAGGAUGAAUCCAGCUGCAUUAAAUACAAUACAGGUUUAUGCUAGUUUAGAAGAUGCAUGAAGAAAUCAGCCAAUUAUAGAGAAUAAUAACUAUAGUUUAUCAGCAAUUUUAUUUAUCAACCCAGCUAACGACACCCAUCAAUCACAGUGACAGAUAAUCUCUCCCCCUUCCCCCCUCUAUCAUCACAACAAAAACAUGCUGAUCACCCUAUCUCCUGAAAAAAGACAAAAAGCCGUUCGCACAGCUAUAAAUACUAUCCAACAAACACCAGCAGAGCAUGGACAGAGUUCCUACUCCAGUCCUCUGAAGAUGGCGGCCACAGAGACUGGCAAAACGUCAGGAAGAACAACCUUCAGAACACGGCCAAAAACCCCGAAAAACCCACAACAACCAACCCAUAUUCUCAUCAAAUUACUCAAUCGUUCUUGUUACUCACCAGCCUGGUAAAGACCAGAGUGUCAUUUGAUACUUCAGCUUGGAAGACCAACUCCAGAGCGGGCAAGCUUCUGAAGUGUAUCAGUUUGCUUUUUGAUCUUUGAUACAUUAUUAUGAGUUCCUGGUGAACCACAUCAUGUUUUAAGUGGAUAACCUAAAUCAAUUCACAUUUCUCUUUAAUAAAAGCAAUGGCUUAAAUCA